CUAGUAGCUCAAUUGGUAGAGCAUCUGACUUUUAAUCAGAAGGUCCUUGGUUCGAUUCCAAGC
rnacentral:tRNA from 1 species